CCGUUUCGGACUCUUUCUGCUACUAGUUUUUCUUCCUCAUUGCUGAGCUGUCACAUGACUAAGAGAGGGUUUGAGGUAAAGAAGGUGGAUACUGCGACGUGGAGCUGACGGGUUAGGCAUAGAGGUGUGCCUUAGUCUCGGCUACUGGCGCGGACCAUUGCUUUCAGCAUGACCAGGAAGACGUGAUGGUCCAUGUGACGUGCACCUACCACAGAAACGUCACCAGUAACGCACUCUGUCCGAUGGUCCGCCAGCAUCCUCUAUUCGACAUGGAUGUCAAGUCUGGAACAGUAUCCGUUGUUUGUUUCUCACGCCCAACGGAAUUUGGUAUUUGCACGUGUGAAGAGUCACAUUCUGAGAAUUCCACAUGCACACUGUUGUUGAAUACAACUCAUCUGGAAAGAAGACGAAUUGUGUGGAAGGCCUGCAAUCAACAAGACAUAUAUCUUAGUGUCGAAAAUAAUAAUAACACCAGCAAUCUUUCUCCAAUCACCGUUGAUGAGAGUUUUAAUUAUCCAGUAGCAGUUGGUGUAGCUACAGGUUUUGUUACUAUAGUAACCACAAUACUUCUCGCAGUAUUUCUGUGGAUGAGACGAAAACGGUUAAGGACAAAUCAAAUGGGCUCACAAGAGGAACAGGACAAGCUGAACGCAACGACAAUCAAUCAGUCAGGCGCCCUUUGACCAGCCUCUGUGGUUGGGAGGAUCACGGUGAUAGACGCGGCACCUGACAGGGUCCCUCCCUCUCUUGUCUAUUGUGGGCGAUGGUCAGGAGGUCCUGCACGGGACGACCUGUCAAGUCUUUGAUGCUC